CCUACGGGAGGCAGCAGUAGGGAAUAUUGCUCAAUGGGGGAAACCCUGAAGCAGCAACGCCGCGUGGGUGAUGAAGGUUUUAGGAUUGUAAACCCCUUUUGGGAGGGAAGAUAAUGACGGUAUCUCACGAAUAAGCACCGGCUAACUCCGUGCCAGCAGCCGCGGUAAUACGGAGGGGGCAAGCGUUACUCGGAUUCACUGGGCGUAAAGGGUGCGCAGGCGGGAGUGUAAGUCAGAAGUGAAAUCCCGGGGCUUAACUACGGAACUGCAUUGGAAACUGUGAGGCUAGAGUGUGGGAGAGGUAAGUGGAAUUCUUGGUGUAGCGGUAAAAUGCGUAGAUAUUAAGAGGAAUACUCAUUGCGAAGGCGGCCUACUGGAACCUAACUGACGCUCAGGCACGAAAGCGUGGGGAGCAAACAGGAUUAGAUACCCCAGUAGUC
rnacentral:rRNA from 1 species